rnacentral:lncRNA from 1 species
ACAGAACAACACUCUCCCUGCCCCCGUUAAUCUCUCUCUUUCUCUUUUAUUUUUUACUGCUAUUGCCAAACUACAGAAGGUGUAUGGGAGGGAUAAACGUGGUGUGAUAUGGAUUUAGGGUGUAUGACAUGGAGGAAAUAGAAGCAAAGUUAUAAGAGGGUGGGGGAACUGGCACCCUAUGUUAGUAAAGUCUUGGAAGGAGAAAUGGUGUGGAUGAGAAGGGAGAGGAGUAGGUGGAUACCGAUUAUACUUGCACACACAUAUACUGGGGGGAUGGAGGUGGGUUCUUUGUUGUGUUAGUGGAAAGCAGUGUGAAGUGUGUGUGUGUGUCUUUUAGCUCCCACUUUUUCUUUUCUUUUACUUGUUAUGUCAGCCCCCAUAAGAGGGAGAGGAAAUCUGCAUGUGGCCAAUGAUUCGCAGGAUAGAGAUAGGCAUAAGCGUUAGCGUGUGUGGAGGGGGAGGACGAGGACAAAGGAUGUGGGGAGCUGGAUGGUGAGUGUGCAGAGUUGAUGGUAGGAGAAACGGUCUAAAGACUGUGGUGAAGAGUGUGGUGGAGGGAAGGGAGGAUUGUGUGAGAGCCUGUAUGGGGUUGAAAGGCUAGGAGCUGAGCUCCCUGUAGCAGCAGCGGUGGCGGCAGCGUUGUUCCAGCUUCUACUGCUUCACUCCGCGCUUUCUGCAGCCGCCACUGCAUCCGCGCGGCGGGGGCUUCUCACUGCAGCCACCCGGAGACUUCAGGCUGGUGCUUCACCUUACAAGAAGAAGGGUGCACGAAGCAGCAUUCCCGGCAAGAAGAGGAUUCCCACGGCAUCGGUUACACGCGCGCACACACACGCACACAUACACGCCAGCGCAGAGGGAAUAGUUUUGGGUGGUGGGUGUUUUCUUCUUCUUCGUUGUUCGGAAGCAAUCUAACCAGGAGAAGAACACUGAGCCCUUUUCCUUCC